GUGCCAAUACCACCAACCCUGUUUGUGAACAACGCUGUAGAAAUACACCUGGAAGUUUUAUUUGCUCUUGUGAUGAUGGCUACCUAAUCAACACAACAGACCACAGCAAAUGUGAUGACAUUGAUGAAUGCAAAGAUGAAUCCCCAUGCCAGCAGAUUUGUACCAACACAGUAGGAAGCUUCUCGUGUUCUUGUAAGGCUGGAUACACUAUCAGUAGCACGGACGCCACAACAUGUGAAGUACCAUGUGAUGCUUACAAGAAACAAACACCAGUAGAUUAUACGACAUCAGAUCACAAGGCUUGCUUUAAUAUUUGUAAAGAAAAUUUAUUAUGUAAUGGUUACACCUAUGAGGUUGGUGUUCCAAAAAAUUGUAGUGUUUGUACUGUCUGGAAACGUAACUAACACUAACAUAGAAUUAAGUGGAGCUGGCUUUGUGACUUGUCGAAACGAAACAGCGCCAUGUUCUGCUUAUGAUGAUUAUACCAGCAUAUCAACAGCUGACCAAACACACAAGGCUUGUUUUAUGUCUUGCGCUGCGUAUCAUACAUGCUUGAGAUACACUUAUGUCAGCCAAACAUACUGUAACCACCUUGUCGCAGCUGGGAACAAGUAUGACAUAAACACGAAUAUAUGGGCUAACGCAUACAUGGUUUGCUGAUUGGUAUAGGCCCCUAUGUCCAGAGUUUCAAAAGAUUUUGGAUCCAAAAAGUUAUUCAAGUUUUAAAGUUCCUAAACAUGUAUUGAUCAACAGCGUUUGCCAAAUGUAAACUGUUGGUUUUGUAU